GGCGUUAAAACAAGUUGUAAUCGCAUUGGAAAUGAAAAUAUAGAAGCUCUGUAUUACAAACUACAGUACUCAACUGGAGCUGACAAAGACUCCAGGGGGGAGGGGAAGAAAGAGUUUGGAUUCGGACAUGCGGUGGAGAAGGCAACCAAAGAAGCACAAGGAAGCUAAAACUGAAGAGAACAAAAGCUCAACCUACAAAGGUAUACCUUCUGUUACUAUUUGCGUGUACAGUGAAUCUGCCUCUUCUGUGUUGAGCAUUUUGCAUAGUCAUCUUACAGACAAACAAGUUAUGACACCAUGAUAACGCUAAAGAAGAUCGCUCAAGCAACACAACCACAUUCAUCUACCAUUUCAGAUCUAUUCAUCCACAAGGAUUGCAAACUAUUCGAAUGUGAAGCUUGAGGCCAUCAACUGCUACAGCUAUGUCCACUUUUAACAGGUCAUGACAUUGCUAAAUGCUUUUGGCAACUUCAUUCAAUACGUACUGUAUGAAACCAUAGCAUAGUUCACAUGGCUAUUCAGACUCAGCCUAUUUCAUUUCUUCUAAUGACA